UCCUACGGGAGGCAGCAGUAGGGAAUCUUCCGCAAUGGACGAAAGUCUGACGGAGCAACGCCGCGUGAGUGAUGAAGGCUUUCGGGUCGUAAAACUCUGUUGUUAGGGAAGAACAAGUGCUAGUUGAAUAAGCUGGCACCUUGACGGUACCUAACCAGAAAGCCACGGCUAACUACGUGCCAGCAGCCGCGGUAAUACGUAGGUGGCAAGCGUUAUCCGGAAUUAUUGGGCGUAAAGCGCGCGCAGGUGGUUUCUUAAGUCUGAUGUGAAAGCCCACGGCUCAACCGUGGAGGGUCAUUGGAAACUGGGAGACUUGAGUGCAGAAGAGGAAAGUAGAAUUCCAUGUGUAGCGGUGAAAUGCGUAGAGAUAUGGAGGAACACCAGUGGCGAAGGCGACUUUCUGGUCUGUAACUGACACUGAGGCGCGAAAGCGUGGGGAGCAAACAGGAUUAGAUACCCUGGUAGUCCACGCCGUAAACGAUGAGUGCUAAGUGUUAGAGGGUUUCCGCCCUUUAGUGCUGAAGUUAACGCAUUAAGCACUCCGCCUGGGGAGUACGGCCGCAAGGCUGAAACUCAAAGGAAUU
rnacentral:rRNA from 1 species